rnacentral:rRNA from 1 species
GACGAACGCUGGCGGCGUGCUUAACACAUGCAAGUCGAACGGAAAGGCCCUGCUUUUGUGGGGUGCUCGAGUGGCGAACGGGUGAGUAACACGUGAGUAACCUUCCCUUGACUUUGGGAUAACGUCAGGAAACUGGGGUUAAUACCGGAUAGGAGCUCCUGCUGCAUGGUGGGGGUUGGAAAGUUUGGGCGGUUGGGGAUGGACGCGCGGCUUACCAGCUGGUUGGGGGGGUGGUGGCUUACAAAGGCUUUGACGGGUAGCCGGCCGGGGAGGGUGACCGGCAACAUUGGGACUGGGAUACGGCCCAGACUCCUACGGGAGGCAGCAGGGGGGAAUAUUGCACAAUGGGCGGAAGCCUGAUGCAGCAACGCCGCGUGCGGGAUGACGGCCUUCGGGUUGUAAACCGCUUUCGCCUGUGACGAAGUGGGAGUGACGGUAAUGGGUAAAGAAGCACCGGCUAACUACGUG